rnacentral:rRNA from 1 species
GAUGAACGCUGGCGGCGUGCCUAAUACAUGCAAGUCGAGCGAACGGACGAGAAGCUUGCUUUUCUGAUGUUAGCGGCGGACGGGUGAGUAACACGUGGAUAACCUACCUAUAAGACUGGGAUAACUUCGGGAAACCGGAGCUAAUACCGGAUAAUAUUUUGAACCGCAUGGUUCAAAAGUGAAAGACGGUCUUGCUGUCACUUAUAGAUGGAUCCGCGCUGCAUUAGCUAGUUGGUAAGGUAACGGCUUACCAAGGCAACGAUGCAUAGCCGACCUGAGAGGGGGAUCGGCCACACUGGAACUGAGACACGGUCCAGACUCCUACGGGAAGCAGCAGUAGGGAAUCUUCCGCAAUGGGCGAAAGCCUGACGGAGCAACGCCGCGUGAGUGAUGAAGGUCUUCGGAUCGUAAAACUCUGUUAUUAGGGAAGAACAUAUGUGUAAGUAGCUGUGCACAUCUUGACGGUACCUAAUCAGAAAGCCACGGCUAACUACGUG